UAGGGAAUCUUCCACAAUGGGCGCAAGCCUGAUGGAGCAACACCGCGUGAGUGAAGAAGGGUUUCGGCUCGUAAAACUCUGUUGUUGAAGAAGAACGUGCGUGAGAGUAACUGUUCAUGCAGUGACGGUAUUCAACCAGAAAGUCACGGCUAACUACGUGCCAGCAGCCGCGGUAAUACGUAGGUGGCAAGCGUUAUCCGGAUUUAUUGGGCGUAAAGCGAGCGCAGGCGGUUACUUAAGUCUGAUGUGAAAGCCUUCGGCUUAACCGAAGAAGUGCAUCGGAAACUGGGUGACUUGAGUGCAGAAGAGGACAGUGGAACUCCAUGUGUAGCGGUGGAAUGCGUAGAUAUAUGGAAGAACACCAGUGGCGAAGGCGGCUGUCUGGUCUGCAACUGACGCUGAGGCUCGAAAGCAUGGGUAGCGAACAGG
rnacentral:rRNA from 1 species